rnacentral:tRNA from 1 species
UCCCUGGUGGCUCAGAGGUUAAAGCACCUGCCUGCAAUGCAGGAGACCUGAGUUCAAUCCCUGGGUUGGGAA